AGUGAACGCUGGCGGUAGGCCUAACACAUGCAAGUCGAACGGCAGCACAGUAAGAGCUUGCUCUUACGGGUGGCGAGUGGUGGACGGGUGAGGAAUACAUCGGAAUCUACUUUUUCGUGGGGGAUAACGUAGGGAAACUUACGCUAAUACCGCAUACGACCUACGGGUGAAAGCAGGGGAUCUUCGGACCUUGCGCGAUUGAAUGAGCCGAUGUCGGAUUAGCUAGUUGGCGGGGUAAAGGCCCACCAAGGCGACGAUCCGUAGCUGGUCUGAGAGGAUGAUCAGCCACACUGGAACUGAGACACGGUCCAGACUCCUACGGGAGGCAGCAGUGGGGAAUAUUGGACAAUGGGCGCAAGCCUGAUCCAGCCAUACCGCGUGGGUGAAGAAGGCCUGCGGGUUGUAAAGCCCUUUUGUUGGGAAAGAAAAGCAGCAGGUUAAUACCCCGCUGUUCUGACGGUACCCAAAGAAUAAGCACCGGCUAACUUCGU
rnacentral:rRNA from 1 species